UCCGUAGGUGGAUAAUUAAGUCAGAGGUGAAAUCCUGUAGCUCAACUGUAGAAUUGCCUUUGAUACUGGUUAUCUUGAGUUAUUAUGAAGUAGUUAGAAUAUGUAGUGUAGCGGUGAAAUGCAUAGAUAUUACAUAGAAUACCAAUUGCGAAGGCAGAUUACUAAUAAUAUACUGAUACUGAUGGACGAAAGCGUGGGGAGCGAACAGGAUUAGAUACCCUGGUAGUCC
rnacentral:rRNA from 1 species